rnacentral:rRNA from 1 species
AGCGAACGCUGGCGGCAGGCCUAAUACAUGCAAGUCGAGCGGGUCCUUCGGGAUUAGCGGCGGACGGGUGAGUAACGCGUGGGAACGUGCCCUUUGGUACGGAACAACUGAGGGAAACUUCAGCUAAUACCGUAUGUGCCCUUCGGGGAAAGAUUUAUCGCCAUUGGAGCGGCCCGCGUUGGAUUAGGUAGUUGGUGAGGUAGAGGCUCACCAAGCCUACGAUCCAUAGCUGGUCUGAGAGGAUGACCAGCCACACUGGGACUGAGACACGGCCCAGACUCCUACGGGAGGCAGCAGUAGGGAAUCUUGCGCAAUGGGCGAAAGCCUGACGCAGCCAUGCCGCGUGAAUGAUGAAGGUCUUAGGAUUGUAAAAUUCUUUCACCGGGGACGAUAAUGACGGUACCCGGAGAAGAAGCCCGGCUAACUUCGUGCCAGCAGCCGCGGUAAU